CACGCGGUAAACGAUGGAUGCUAGGUGUAGGAGGUAUCGACCCCUUCUGUGCCGGAGUCAACACAAUAAGCAUCCCGCCUGGGGAGUACGGCCGCAAGGUUGAAACUCAAAGGAAUUGACGGGGGCCCGCACAAGCAGCGGAGCAUGUGGUUUAAUUCGAAGCAACGCGAAGAACCUUACCAGGUCUUGACAUCGAUGUAAACCUGUAGAGAUAUGGGGUGCCUUCGGGCAACAGAAGACAGGUGG
rnacentral:rRNA from 1 species